rnacentral:misc_RNA from 1 species
CUUGAAGGUGGUGAAGUAAUAAAAAAGGCGAUCCUUUCGGAUCGCCUUUUUUAUUACUUCACCACCUUCAAA